UACAGAGGGUGCAAGCGUUAAUCGGAAUUACUGGGCGUAAAGCGUGCGUAGACGGUUAUGUAAGUCGGGUGUGAAAGCCCCGGGCUCAACCUGGGAAUUGCAUUCGAGACUGCAUAGCUAGGGUGCGGAAGAGGGAAGCGGAAUUUCCGGUGUAGCGGUGAAAUGCGUAGAUAUCGGAAGGAACACCAGUGGCGAAAGCGGCUUCCUGGUCCAGCACCGACGUUCAGGCACGAAAGCGUGGGGAGCAAUCAGG
rnacentral:rRNA from 1 species